UACGUAGGGUGCGAGCGUUUAAUCGGAAUUACUGGGCGUAAAGCGUGCGCAGGCGGUUCGUUAAGUCAGAUGUGAAAGCCCCGGGCUUAACCUGGGAACUGCGUUUGAAACUGGGAGACUUGAGUGUGGCAGAGGGGGGGUGGAAUUCCACGUGUAGCAGUGAAAUGCGUAGAUAUGUGGAGGAACACCAAUGGCGAAGGCAGCCCCCCUGGGUCAACACUGACGCUCAUGCACGAAAGCGUGGGGAGCAAACAGG
rnacentral:rRNA from 1 species